rnacentral:lncRNA from 1 species
AAGGGGCUGAAGAUGGAGGAGUUUCGGGAACUAAAUAAUGAACUCCUUCCUGCCAGGGAUUCUGAGUUCCCCUCUCCCCACAGCUGCUGAGGAUGGUGGUGCCCAGUGUGAGACUGAAGGCUGGAAGCCAAGGUGUGAUCCUCAAGCUAGAAAACACUAAAGGCUGGAGAAACCAAGAAUCUCAGUUAACUGAUCCUGAUUCUGCUACUUCCUGGCUAUGCAAUGUGGAAAACACCGAACUUCUAAGCUUCAGAGUGAAGUUGUGUCUUCUGGCUGCUUUGACGUGCAACAGACCUGGUCUGUAGCCACUGGCCAUGUGUUCUGGGGCUCAUCCAAAUGCACACUGGAUCGUGAAGUUGAAGACUGAAUAUGAAAAUAAGAAUGUGAACUCUCUCAUUCAUAGUGUUUAUGUUGAUUACACUCUUUGGGACAUAUUGGGUUAAAUAAGACAUUAUUGAAGUUAAUUUUGCCCCUUUUUACUUCUGAACAUGUGGUUCCCAAAAAGCUGUAAUUGUAAUAUGUGGCUUGUGUUAUACUUUUAUUAGCCAGAGCUGUUCCAGGUGGCACAAUCAGGAAGGACUGAGGUGUUUUGGAAUUUUCUCUCUGAAGCAGUCAGAGAGGAUUGUCCUACUUAAGGGUUGAGCAAAACCCACCAGGUCUGCACUUGGAGGCUGCUCACUUUCUCCCAGUCUGCCUGAGAGGUUAAUGCCUCGCUGCAUCUGUUUUAUAACUUGUCUGGUUGGCUUUCCUAACUUUGGGGAAAGAGAAAAGGAUGGAAAGAUGGAGCAAAGAGGAUCUCAUUAGGUGGUGAGAUGAGGGAUUAGACAUGUAAGCACAUCAGGUUUUGCUCUUAGAUUUGAGUUCGAAUUUCAUUUUAGCCACUGGUUUGCUGUUCAGCUCUGGGUCUUUCUCAACCCCAGGUUUCUCAUGUGCCAAGAGAAAUGAGUUCCUCCAGGGGUUUCCUUACCUGUUUGUUCUGUGCCAGAAAACAGGGAGAGUGCAUUGGGAGCACCCAGUAGGCCUCAGGGAAUGACAUGUUUUGCUAUUGCUGUUACUGCUGUGUGUGGUGUUUGCUCUUCAACCCUGGGCUCCUCUAUUCUCUCUGUCUCUCUGUCUCUCUCUGUCUCUCUCUCUCUCUCCCUCCCUCCCUCUCACUCCACAGGCAUUCUGCCCAACUUUUCUCCCUGAUUCAGCUCUGAGAAAUGCCAAGGCAAGCGUUCCCGUGAAGCUGCUUGUCAGCAAACACCCACUCGCGUCUCGCUCUUCUCCAUGUGCCAGAGAUGGGCCUGGAUUCCACUCCAGGCC